UCUACAGAUGCGCGAUAUUAUCGCCACAUAUUGGCUCUAAAAUGUAUUAUCGUAUAUCGGAAAAAACAUUUCCUCCUUGAUUUCUAUGCUAGCGACAUCUACGACUUUUUUUAAUGUUUAUUUGUUUCACACAAUGAAGAAAAUGUAAAUCUAUAUCUGCUGUGGCAGAGUGUCAAAAAUAUCACUAAAACUGGGCUAAAACCUCGUGGUGAUUGCUCCUUUUCUGAAGCUUUCCCCAAAUGAUGGAAUCACUAACCCAUUGAAAUCAAAUUUGCCCUAAUUAUUGAACAUAUUUAAUCACUUUUAAUGACCCAUUAUUUUAUCCAUGGCUUAUAUUCCACCUAGACGUAUCUAACUAGAGUUUUACCAUUUCAUUAUUUUCACUGUUUUACAGAAUCGUUGGUCAACCAUGGCUGUUUUUAUCUGUAUGGUAUCGUUGUUUUUAUCGGUAUCUUUAUCAGUUAUCGGCCCUAAUGCCCCCAAUACAUUGGCAAAAGGUUUCAGGUUAUAUCGGCAAGAUUUAAGGCCAGAUUAGGCAAGAGUUUGAUAAAUGUGGUGUCUUUUGAGUUGUAGAUUUUGAUUAUUUUACCUAAAUAAAAUACUGCGCCACAUUCGCUUCCUCCUUUUCAUCCAGACAUAGAUUCACUUUCUAGAUCCUCAACUACAAAAACUGUCUGGUCGUGUUUUGAGUUGUUCCCGUCGACGCAGAACAAAAACUGCUGCAGAACGCUUGGCCUCGCAUUUCACGCUCUCCGGGGAGCAUCUGCUCCACAUAGCAACAGUUGCCGUGGGGCGAGGGAACUGGAUACUGUAUGUGCGGUGUGUGUGUGUGUGUGUGUCACUCAAAUCACUGACAGUUACUCACCCGAUCAAGGAGUCUUCUCCCAGUUGGUUUCCACCUUCCACCAUCGCCUGGGACAGCGCAGUGAGAGGCAGCUUUUUCUGCAGCAGACGAGACACAAACUCAGUGACUUUGUCCAUGCAGCAGCUUCAGUGUUAAGAUGUUUUAAAAAUAAUCGAUGGAAAACCCAUCAAGGGCUUUUCAUCCAGCAGUGAAUUCAGGAGGAGGUGGAGGAAGAAGAGGAGGAAACCACAGAUGAAGAGAUGCAAACUAGGGAAGUGAGACAUCUAUGAAAUGACAAACGCUCCAGCUUCACUUUCUGUUUUAUUGCAAAAAAAAAAGAAGAGAAACAUUCAUAAAUCUCAAGUUUUUAUCUUUAUAUCCCACAGAAUGGCGGGGCAGGAGCGUCAUGCACUGUGAACAAAGACGACAGACGUCUGAAUGAGGGAAAAUGGAGCGAGUGAGUGGUGCUGAGAGAACCACAGAAAACCACGUGUCCUUCACCUGAAAACAGGCUCUGUGAAGCAAAACUCUCCGGCCUGUGACUGAGGGAGCGUUUACAGACAUCAGUGUCCGUGUGAAGUGAGGGACAGAGGCCCGGGGGACUCGCGAGGACAGACGCAGCAGAACAAUCGCGUCUUUGAGGCGCGGUGAAAGUCAACGGUCAGACCUCAGAGAUGCAACUGCACCAUGACGACUAUGAUGGAGGAGAAUGUGUCCCAUACUAAAGCGUCAGAGCGUCUCUGGGAGGCCGUUUCCUGUUUGUAGAAGAAGAAGGGGAGAGAUUUCCUUACGGAGCGAGCGCCUGUCUGCUGGACACAGUGUUCUACCUUCAUACAAUCGCAGGAACCCAGGGGGCAGCGGAGAGGCCCUUUGCACUCUGAAGUUUCUGCAGACGUAGACACGCCGGCGUGCACGGGUCUAAUUGACAAAGCAGAGGACGCUUGUUCGCUCUAGUCCAACCACGGGCGGUCAGAUCACUCGGUCAGAUGAUAGCAGGAAGGAUUUAAACCUACAUGUUCACACAAACGAGAGGGAAGUGCACACGUCUGUUUUAAACAUAACCCUCUCUCCGGUUCUAAUUUACUGCUGGUACGUUGCAGUGAGUGAAAUUAUGAGUAUCCCAGCUGCUGCUGCCUCUCCUACAAGCUACAGGAACAUCAUGAGUUCAGAUCCUCUGUGUGUGGACUCUGCUGACUGUGUUUCCGCCAUAUGAACACUACAGGGACGGUGAGAUUGCUGCCAAAUACUUAAGUGUCUAACUGUCUUACAACAACUACGCUGAGAUUAUUUCCAUUAUCGGCUCAUGUAUCAUUCUAAUAUGCUUGUCAAAAUUUUUAUAAUUCGGUCUGUAAAAUUGGGAAAACAGUGACAUAUAUUCAUUAAAGGUUAUUAGCGAGGUAGAGGCGCAGACCCAGUCCAGAUGUGAACGGGUAUUUUUCAAAACGUAGCCUUUUCUGUGUGUUUUGACUCUCAGGGUCAAAAUAUCGUGACUUGGUGAUAUAUCAUCGUCCGUCCACAUGCAAUACGAUAAUCGAUAAGGGCAGAUAUUGAUAUUCAGAAAAAAGAAAAUGUCUCCUCAUGGUGGCGCUGCUCAAAUGAAUGAGGAGAAACUUAGGUGGAAGUUACCUGAGUUAACAGCGGGAUAAUGGGUGGAGAAAAGCUAUUGUAAGAGAUGCUCCAUCCACGUUCAAUACGCAAGACUUUAUGCACUUUGUUGUGAAUUAAUGGCAGAUAUCGCAACAUAUUGCUAUACGAUUGCCUGGCAAUAUAUUGUUGUAUCAUAUUAUUGGUAUCGUGGAGCACAUAUCGCAAAGGAUUUUUCCCAGGUUUCUCUUGUGAAUAAAUAAGAGAAAUCCUGCACUUUUAACUUUCCACGUUAAUGUUUUUGUCUUCAGUUAGUCAGAUAUUGUGAUGUAUCGCUAUGCGAUUGUCUGGCAAUAUAUUGAUUGUCACAGAAUCGUUGCAUUGUGAUAUUAUUGGUGUAUCGCGUAUCGAAUCGCCUUGUGAGGUACCCUGGAAUUCCCACUGAUUGCAUUUAAAAAAACAAAAUAUUUCUACUCCACUGGCUGCUAAUGUCAAACCAGUGUGGUUUCUUGAAUUCUUCUUAAAGCUGCAGCAAAUAAUGCCACUGAUAAUUUGUGCUAUAAUAAUGUAAAGUGCCCACUCCUGUUAAAAAAAUCUAAAUUAUGAUAAUACAGUGACACGUCCAUAUAGCAAUGGGUUCUGUUCAUGAGUUGUGUGGUAAAGCAGCCUCAUAAUUAUCAUAUUCUCUGUUUAGAAAGUACCAGAAACAGCUUCCGCAUUACUGGAACACGAUAGCCGGCCUCAACAUCAACAACACGUCAAACUUAAAGCAUCAAAAAGCAGCUUAAUGUGUUUAAGUGAUGGAACCGUCUUCUUUGUCUGACUGUGAUGUGUGCAGCAGUGUCUGAGCUAACAGGUGAAUGGACUCUCUAUUAAAAAGGGCAUCAGACUCAACAAAGAGGACGUGUUCUGCUGUGUGUUUAGGUCUGUUAUCUAGUGCUAUUAUGUUAUUGUGC